rnacentral:rRNA from 1 species
GACGGAGGGUGCAAGCGUUGUUCGGAAUCACUGGGCGUAAAGCGCGCGUAGGCGGCCUGGCAAGUCAGAUGUGAAAGCCCGGGGCUCAACCUCGGAACUGCAUUUGAAACUGCUUGGCUCGAGUUCGGAAGAGGAGGGCGGAAUUCCCAGUGUAGAGGUGAAAUUCGUAGAUAUUGGGAGGAACACCAGUGGCGAAGGCGGCCCUCUGGUCCGAUACUGACGCUGAGGCGCGAAAGCGUGGGGAGCAAACAGG